UAACUUUCUCGAGAAGCUAGGAUUGGAAACUCAAACAACGCACGAGGAAUAAAAGGACACUGGUAGAUACUUGUAAAAUAACCAAUACUAAGACAUUCAACAGAAAAGGACUCAUCAACAUAGAGAAAUUAGGAAACAUAAUCAGCCUUAAUUUGGCUCCAACACAUAAUACAGCAACAUGGACUAAAAUUAAACUAAAUAGAAAAGGAA
rnacentral:misc_RNA from 1 species